UAGAAGAUGGAGAAACUACAACCAUCAGGAGAAGGUGUCAGAAUCAGAAUCAGAAAGCCUUUAUUGUCAUUGUAAACCAGAGCAUACAACGAGAUUAGGGGGUGCUACUCCUUAUGGUGUUUGC